CUACUAUCCAGCGAAACCA
rnacentral:snRNA from 1 species